rnacentral:rRNA from 1 species
UUCCGUAGGGGGAACCUGCGGAGGGAUCAUUGCUGGAACGCGCCUCGGCGCACCCAGAAACCCUUUGUGAACUUAUACCUAUUGUUGCCUCGGCGAAGGCCGGCCUCUUCUGAGGCCCCCCGGAGACGGGGAGCAGCCCGCCGGCGGCCAACCAAACUCUUGUUUCUUAGUGAAUCUCUGAGUAAAAAACAUAAAUGAAUCAAAACUUUCAACAACGGAUCUCUUGGUUCUGGCAUCGAUGAAGAACGCAGCGAAAUGCGAUAAGUAAUGUGAAUUGCAGAAUUCAGUGAAUCAUCGAAUCUUUGAACGCACAUUGCGCCCUCUGGUAUUCCGGAGGGCAUGCCUGUUCGAGCGUCAUUUCAACCCUCAAGCCUGGCUUGGUGUUGGGGCACUGCUUCGAGAGAAGCAGGCCCUGAAAUCUAGUGGCGAGCUCGCUAGGACCCCGAGCGUAGUAGUUAUAUCUCGUUCUGGAAGGCCCUGGCGGUGCCCUGCCGUUAAACCCCCAACUUCUGAAAUUUUGACCUCGGAUCAGGUAGCAUACCC